GUAGGGAAUAUUGGGCAAUGGUCGGAAGACUGACCCAGCCAUGCCGCGUGCAGGAAGACGGCCCUCUGGGUUGUAAACUGCUUUUAUCUGGGAAGAAAAAGGCCAUGCGUGGCAAAUUGCCGGUACCAGAUGAAUAAGCACCGGCUAACUCCGUGCCAGCAGCCGCGGUAAUACGGAGGGUGCGAGCGUUGUCCGGAUUUAUUGGGUUUAAAGGGUGCGUAGGUGGCUGAUUAAGUCAGCGGUGAAAGACUUCGGCUUAACCGGAGCAGUGCCGUUGAUACUGGUUGGCUUGAGUGUCGGAGGGGUACAUGGAAUUGAUGGUGUAGCGGUGAAAUGCAUAGAUACCAUCAGGAACACCGAUAGCGAAGGCAUUGUACUGGCCGACAACUGACGCUGAUGCACGAAAGUGUGGGGAUCGAACAGGAUUAGAUACCCUAGUAGUCC
rnacentral:rRNA from 1 species